rnacentral:rRNA from 1 species
GACGAACGCUGGCGGCGUGCCUAACACAUGCAAGUCGAGCGAUGAAAUUUUCUUCGGAAAAUGGAUUAGCGGCGGACGGGUGAGUAACACGUGAGUAACCUGCCUCAAAGAGGGGGAUAGCCUUCCGAAAGGGAGAUUAAUACCGCAUAAUAUCAGAUGAUCGCAUGGUCGACUGAUUAAAGGAGCAAUCCGCUUUGAGAUGGACUCGCGGCGCAUUAGCUAGUUGGUAAGGUAACGGCUUACCAAGGCGACGAUGCGUAGCCGACUGAGAGGGUGAUCGGCCACAUUGGGACUGAGACACGGCCCAGACU